ACGGGGUCUAAUACCGGAUACUGACCCGCCUGGGCAUCCAGGCGGUUCGAAAGCUCCGGCGGUGCAGGAUGAGCCCGCGGCCUAUCAGCUUGUUGGUGAGGUAACGGCUCACCAAGGCGACGACGGGUAGCCGGCCUGAGAGGGCGACCGGCCACACUGGGACUGAGACACGGCCCAGACUCCUACGGGAGGCAGCAGUGGGGAAUAUUGCACAAUGGGCGAAAGCCUGAUGCAGCGACGCCGCGUGAGGGAUGACGGCCUUCGGGUUGUAAACCUCUUUCAGCAGGGAAGAAGCGCAAGUGACGGUACCUGCAGAAGAAGCGCCGGCUAACUACGUGCCAGCAGCCGCGGUAAUACGUAGGGCGCGAGCGUUGUCCGGAAUUAUUGGGCGUAAAGAGCUCGUAGGCGGCUUGUCGCGUCGGUUGUGAAAGCCCGGGGCUUAACCCCGGGUCUGCAGUCGAUACGGGCAGGCUAGAGUUCGGUAGGGGAGAUCGGAAUUCCUGGUGUAGCGGUGAAAUGCGCAGAUAUCAGGAGGAACACCGGUGGCGAAGGCGGAUCUCUGGGCCGAUACUGACGCUGAGGAGCGAAAGCGUGGGGAGCGAACAGGAUUAGAUACCCUGGUAGUCCACGCCGUAAACGGUGGGCACUAGGUGUGGGCGACAUUCCACGUCGUCCGUGCCGCAGCUAACGCAUUAAGUGCCCCGCCUGGGGAGUACGGCCGCAAGGCUAAAACUCAGAGGAAUUGACGGGGGCCCGCACAAGCGGCGGAGCAUGUGGCUUAAUUCGACGCAACGCGAAGAACCUUACCAAGGCUUGACAUACACCGGAGACGUCUGGAGA
rnacentral:rRNA from 1 species